ensembl:lncRNA
GGGUGAUUGUCCCAGGUACACUCUGUAUCCGUCCCAGCCAGGGUGAUUGUCCCAGGUCCACUCUGUAUCCGUCCCAGCCAGGGUGAUUGUCCCAGGUCCACUCUGUAUCCGUCCCAGCCAGGUGAUAGUCCCAGGUCCACUCUGUAUCCGUCCCAGCCAGGUGAUAGUCCCAGGUCCACUCUGUAUCCGUCCCAGCCAGGUGAUAGUCCCAGGUCCACUCUGUAUCCGUCCCAGCCAGGGUGAUUGUCCCAGGUCCACUCUGUAUCCGUCCCAGCCAGGUGAUAGUCCCAGGUCCACUCUGUAUCCAUCCCAACCAGGUCACCCGUAAGACAAGUCAGAAUUCAACGUUGUCUGAAUCCAUGUCUGAGGAUGUCGGGAGAUGAUGUGCUAACUGGUC